AACGAACGCUGGCGGCAGGCUUAACACAUGCAAGUCGAACGGUUGUAGCAAUACAGCAGUGGCAGACGGGUGAGUAACACGUGGGAACCUUCCUAGGGGUACGGAACAACUCAGGGAAACUUGAGCUAAUACCGUAUACGUCAGUGAGGAGAAAGAUUUAUCGCCCUUAGACGGGCCCGCGCCGGAUUAGCUAGUUGGUGGGGUAAAGGCCUACCAAGGCGACGAUCCGUAGCUGAUCUUAGAGGAUGAUCAGCCACACUGGGACUGAGACACGGCCCAGACUCCUACGGGAGGCAGCAGUGGGGAAUCUUGGACAAUGGGCGCAAGCCUGAUCCCGCCAUGCCGCGUGAGUGAAGAAGGUCUUCGGAUUGUAAAGCUCUUUUGCCAGGGACGAUAAUGACGGUACCUGGAGAAUAAGCCCCGGCAAACUUCGUGCCAGCAGCCGCCGUAACAC
rnacentral:rRNA from 1 species